rfam:Nomascus leucogenys chromosome 2, whole genome shotgun sequence.
AAGACUAUACUUUCAGGGAUUAUUUCUACAGUUCAUUACUAGGGAAGUUUCCCUGAAUGUGUAGGGAACCAAAAACACUCUUCAGGAUAUUAUCCAGAAGA